rnacentral:rRNA from 1 species
UACAGAGGGGGCGAGCGUUGUUCGGAAUUACUGGGCGUAAAGGGCGCGUAGGCGGCCCGCUAAGUCGAACGUGAAAUCCCCGGGCUCAACUCGGGAACUGCGUCCGAUACUGGCGGGCUUGAAUCCGGGAGAGGGAUGCGGAAUUCCAGGUGUAGCGGUGAAAUGCGUAGAUAUCUGGAGGAACACCGGUGGCGAAGGCGGCAUCCUGGACCGGCAUUGACGCUGAGGCGCGAAAGCUAGGGGAGCAAACGGG